GGGCGUAUAGCUCAGCGGGAGAGCACUACGUUGACAUCGUAGGGGUCCCAAGUUCGAUCCUUGGUACGCCCACCA
rnacentral:tRNA from 6 species